rnacentral:rRNA from 1 species
AACGAACGCUGGCGGCAUGCCUAACACAUGCAAGUCGAACGAGACCUUCGGGUCUAGUGGCGCACGGGUGCGUAACGCGUGGGAACCUGCCCUUAGGUUCGGAAUAACUCCCCGAAAGGGGUGCUAAUACCGGAUAAUGUCUUCGGACCAAAGAUUUAUCGCCUUUGGAUGGGCCCGCGUUGGAUUAGCUAGUUGGUAGGGUAAAAGCCUACCAAGGCGACGAUCCAUAGCUGGUCUGAGAGGAUGAUCAGCCACACUGGGACUGAGACACGGCCCAGACUCGUACGGGAGGCAGCAGUGGGGAAUAUUGGACAAUGGGCGAAAGCCUGAUCCAGCAAUGCCGCGUGAGUGAUGAAGGCCUUAGGGUUGUAAAGCUCUUUUACCCGGGAUGAUAAUGACAGUACCGGGAGAAUAAGCGCCGGCUAACUCCGUG